UGCGAAGGUGGCGGAAUUGGUAGACGCGCUAGCUUCAGGUGUUAGUGUCCUUACGGACGUGGGGGUUCAAGUCCCCCCCCUCGCACCAU
rnacentral:tRNA from 3 species